UACGUAGGAGGCGAGCGUUGUCCGGAAUCACUGGGGGUAAAGCGCGUGUAGGCGGCCUGCCAAGUCUGCUGUGAAAGCGCCUGGCUUAACCGGGCGAGGUCGGUGGAAACUGGCGGGCUGGAGGACGGUAGAGGGGGGUGGAAUUCCCGGUGUAGUGGUGAAAUGCGUAGAGAUCGGGAGGAACACCAGUGGCGAAGGCGGCCCCCUGGGCCGUUCCUGACGCUGAGACGCGAAGGCGCGGGGAGCGAACGGG
rnacentral:rRNA from 1 species